rnacentral:lncRNA from 10 species
UGGCAAGGGGAGUGGUGGGGAAAUAGAGGAAGACGAGUUACUGGUGUGGGAUGAGGUGUAACGUGCAUCCAAUUAAUCCUCAAUGUGGAAUUUACAUUUUGUGAAACUAUCCUGCUGAGAUGGGAAGGGUACAGUAACCGUAGCUUAGCACAAUCCUGGGACGUAGUAUGCAGCUCUGCAUUAAUUCAACAAAUGUUUGUUAUGUGCUUCCUAUGUGCCAGGCAGUGUUGUAGGCCCUCGGGAAUGCCGUGAUAAACAGGAACAGGGACAUACAAAAUAUCACUGGUAUGUGCUUUGCAGAAAAUUUAAGUAAGGUGAAGUCAUUCUUAAAUUGGCUGCACGGGGAAGAUCGCUGUAAUGAGUUUUAAGCUGAAAUGUGAAUGACAAAGCCAGCCCCGCAGAUAUGAGGGGGAGGAGUAUUUCAGUCAAAGGGAACAAAUGCAAAGAUCUGAAGCAUGAAGGAGUUUUCUGUAUUCAAGGAAACAAAAGAUCACUCUUGCUGGGACACAGUAGGCAAGGAGUCGACGGUACUAGAUGAGCUGGGCAGGUAGGCAGAGGCCAGAUCCCGGAAGGAUUUUAAAAUUCAUAACAGGGGUUGUAUUUUAAACGAAGCCAUAAGUUUGGACCAGGGAGUGAAAUGAGUGUGCGUGUGUUUAAAAAUGAUUACUUGGGUUGCUGUGUGGAAAAUGGAUUUCAGAGAGGCAAAGGAGGUGGAAAUAGGGAGAUGAGUGUGGCAGAUUGUGAAAAUAGCCACAAAUUAUUUCCAGUCUCCCAAAUUAUACUCUUUGGUGGUGUCUACCCCCACUGACUGCACUGGACUGUGACUUGCUGUGGACGUGGGACAUUAACAUCGUGCAAGCAGAGGCUUAAAAAACACUUGUGAGUUGGGGCUUGCCCUCUUGCUGAACUUGGGAGUCCUGUGACCACCAUUUUAGGAAUGAGUGUGGGCUAGCCUGAUGGAUGAUGAGGGACACGUGGUCAAGUCACGGCCCACAUCCAGCUGACAACCAACCAACUGCGAACAUGUGAAGCUCUCCCGGACUAUCCUUCCCUGGCCACAACCACAUGGAUCGGACGAACUGACCAGCCAACCCACAGAAUGAGAUGGGGGUCUCACUAUAUCGCCCAGAUUUCUGUCGAACUUCUGGACUUAAGCAAUCCUCCCUCCUCAGCCUCCCAAAGUGCUGGGAUUACAGGUAUGAGCCACAACAUUUGGCCUGAAAUUUUUGAAAAUUGUUUUAUUCAGAUGCGAGGUACAGUUCUGAUUAUGCCUGCCGUUACUUACCUGGAUAUCAUGAAAUGUGAGGAUACAGACAUAUCCUACAUACUAUUACUUCCAUUCCAAUAAUCAAUUACAGUCAUGUACUGCAUAGCAAUGUUUUGGUCACUGACAGAACACAUAUACAAUAGUGGUCCCGUAAGAUUACAGUGGAGCUGAAAAAUUCCUAUUGCACAAAUACUUACCAUUUCCUUACGUUAUUCACUAUAGUAACAUGCUGUGCGUGUUUGUGGCCUGGGAGCAAUAGGCUCUAUCAUAUCGCCUAGUUAUCUAGUAGGCUACACCGCCUACGUUUGUGUAAGUGCUCUCUGUGAUGUUUGCAUAAUGACAAAAUUGCCUAACAAAGCAUUUCUCAGAACAUAUUCCCAUUGUUAAGUGAUGUAUGACUGUAUUCUUCAUUUAUUCUAGGAGAUGAAAUAGUCAUCAAGGUCUGCAGCUAAUUUAACAGUAUAACUUUAAUUAAAGAAUUCCAGUAGCACCUGUUCCUGAGAGCAAUGUUUGUGGAUAUUUGUCUUUUUUUUUUUUUUUUUUGGUCUGCCCAAAGUCCAUUGUCAUUUUUAAUAGAAUGCUGAUUCCUUUUGGAUAUCAUCAGAGUGAGGGUAAUUCCAAGUCCCCACCUUUCAUUCCAGAAGCUGACAGGCACAGAUUCUUUUGUUCCCAACCCCAGGACAUAGCUGGGGUGGUGGCGGGGCAGCUCUACCAAUCUCCCAGGAAUAUGAAUUAACAAUGAGGGCUGCAACAAUGAGAGGAAUGUUUAGAGGUCGUUCAUCAGAGUGCCAGUGCCCCAGCCAGGUUGAAGGACAAUUGUUUGGAGUAAUAAAAUUUUAGGUUAAAAUGCAUUCCAGAUAAAAAUGUAACAUGUUACGUAACUGAAUUCAGAGUAAUAUGUGUAGGCCAUCAAGAUGAGGAGGAGUUUUACAUGCAUAUAUUACAUGGUAAAAAUGAAAAUAAAAAAAUUAAUUUUAAAAAUAAGAAAAAAGAUGAGGAGGAGAAGGUUGCUUACCCUUUAUAUUCUGGUAACCACAAGUGUGAUUGGAGCCAAAAACCCAGUCUGACUAAAUGGAGCAGAAGGCCCACUUGAUACUGAGCUGUGUGUACACCCCUGGCUGGUUGCCUUGGCUGUGGGUUCCCUCCUCGUGUUAAUGAUACUGUGAUAUGAAACAGCAGAGGAAGUAAACAGUAACCAGGGACAGAGAACACAUGUGUUCCCGCUCGACUCGGACAGACCUCUGGGAAAAGUUUGGAAGAUGUUUGUAUAAAAAGCAAAGGAGGAGAUCACAAGGUGGACAGAGUUUUGUUGUGCGUAGAGUUGUAUGGACCUGUACUGUCAAGGAACUUUCAGAGAAAACAGGCUUGUCAUAGAUUCUUUGGCUUCAGUUAGAGUCACUGUAAAGAAUCUAAGUGUGUUGUGUGCUCAUGUUGCUAUACCUGCCCUGUCUGUGGCAGUCUUUCCGGAAAGGAAACUCCAAGGAAGGAGGGGAGAGACUCAACAGCUUGACUCACGUGCAGGGUGGUGCCAGCUGCAGAAGCUCUAGGAACACAGCUUGAGCGACCUGUGCUGAGUUGCGGAGGCUUUCACUGUGUGUUAGUUUGUUUUCUGUUGCUUUUAACAGAACACCUGAAAUGGAGUAAUUUAUAAGGAAAAGGAAUUCAUUCCUUUCCAAGGAGGCUGAGAAGUCCAAGGUCGAAGGGUUGCAUCUGGUGAGGGCCAUCUUCCUGGUGGGGACUCUGCAGGGUCCCAAAGUGUCACAGGACAUCACAUGGCAAGGGGGCAGAGCACGAUAGCUCAGGUCUCUCUUCCUAUUGUGAUAAAACUGCCGGUCCCACUCCCAUGAAACCCACAAAUCCAUUAUCCCAUUAAUCCACUAAUCUAUGAAUGGAUUAAUCCAUGUAUGGGGGCUCUGCCUUCAUGAUCCAAUCACCUCUUAAAUGCUCCCCCUCUCAAUGCUGCUGUACUGGAGAUGGAAUUUUAACAUGAGUUUUGGAAGGGACAAAAAUUCAAAACAUACUACCAGAACUGACUAAUCAUCCAGGGAAGGAUUUUUGAAGGAUUCUUGUAUACAGGCCACUGCAUCCUUAGUUUGAUAAAAGGCCAGGUUCAGGAGUAGGAACUGAGGAACAGAAGCCUCAAUGGACACAGAUCAGGACUAGUUAUUGUAAGGGGAGGGAUAAAGGUUGAAUAUUGCCUUCUCACUGAAAAUUCCUCUAUUUCCCUUCUUAGCAGGUCAUUUUAUUUUAUGUAGGUGAAUUAUCCUAUAAUUACAUUUUAAUCAUAAGUGGCAUCCCUAAAACUCUUGAUUAUAUUUAAUUUAAAAAUAUUACUAUAUGUCUCGAUAAACUCUGACGUUGUUUUUCAAAAAAUCUGUUUCUUCUAGCAUUUCUUGCCGUUGUCUACCUUUUUGCCAUUGUGGUCUGUAGCACUUUUAUAAAACAAUAUGUUGGGUUAAUGAAAAAUAAGUAAAAGACUUGUUUUUUUGAUGUAUCCCCACUUGAAAAUACAAAAUAUAUUUUUUGGUGAAGGGUUCUUCCAGGUCAAAAAUAAACUGUGAAACUUGUCCUACCAAGUUACUUAAUACAUGGGUCCAUGAACUUAAUUGGAAAAGUAUGUGGUAUAUUCUAAGUAUGUUUGGAAGCUGUGCAUAUAUCAUACAACAAAGCAUUGCUAGUAAAGACCUAAUAGCCUUGUAUCAUUAUGUAUUUUUGUAUAUAGACAUGCAGGAAUAUUUAUAUUGUUUCCUAUUUCCUUAUUUCCUAAUGUGAAUGAUGAUACCUGCUGACUCUUGCUCCUUUUUCUGUGUCACUGCCAGAAAGAUAUCACUGCCUGAUAUUCCCUGUUAUAUUAUUAAAACUUCCCCCUCUCCCGCCAUUA